rnacentral:misc_RNA from 1 species
UGGUGGGCAUGCUUGAAAAGAAGUUAAUAAAAUAAUGGUGGAGCUUUUUAACUAAGGCAUAUCCUAAAAGUAUAUGCAAAUAUGAUACAAAAGGGUAGAGCAGCACUAGCAACAGACACUUCUGUCAUUGUAGCUUUGUUGAUUGGAAUCCCAGUGGGCUCUCCACAAAAUUCUUACCCAAAUCAAGAACAUCCAAUUAUGCUGACCUUUCACAUUCAAAUUCCAUCUUCCUGAUCCCACCUAACCAUUUAGGAUAACAUUAGCCCUAGGCUCUAGCUCAAUUGGCUUGAAUUUGAAUCCAAGUCCUGUGACUGACCACAUAUAGCUUCUGUAUUUUUCCAGGGAAAAGUCUUGCCUUGGCUUAUGAGCUAAGUUGCAAAGCGAUGAGGUACUCGAGGCGUCGGAACGACCACAUCACGACCAGAUUUUAUCAAGUUCUGACGAUCUUGGAUGGUUUUAUCAAACAAUCUGUUCUCAGGAUUUUCUGCAUAGCAAACAUAGUAGCAGCUCACACAAGCAUGUGGCAAUGUCAUAGCAAUCCUAGUCAAGAGGUAUCCAAUGAAGCCUGCCAAGAGGGAGAGAGUAGCUGUGAAAGGCUGGUGCACUUUAGCAGUCCAAGCAGCUACAACAAUAACACAAAUGGAGGCACUACAAACUCCAGUAAGGAAACAAAUUGAGCUGGUAAUGUCAGAAUCGACAAUGCGUUCCAUAUCUUGCCUCUGAAAUUGUGCCCAAGUAUCUUGUGAUGCCCGAACAAAACCUUUCCCAUAUGCAGCUAUCUGUACAAAGGCCCAGCCAUUGCCAUAUCUGAAGAUGGAGUUCAUGACUCCAAGACAGCAAUGAGCACAAGAAAACAUGAAUUCGUCUUCUCCUUCUAGCAAAUUCAGACCCCGAGCAAUGAUUCUUAGCGCUUCAAUUGCCGGUACAAAUAGAGAUCCUAGACAAGCACU